GGUCUGAUGGUCUAGUAGUAUGAUUCCUUGUUAGGGCGUAAGUCACGUGACUCGAGGAGGCCCCGGGUUCAAUUCCCGGUCAGACCC